rnacentral:rRNA from 1 species
AUUGAACGCUGGCGGCAGGCCUAACACAUGCAAGUCGAGCGGAUGAGAAGAGCUUGCUCUUCGAUUCAGCGGCGGACGGGUGAGUAAUGCCUAGGAAUCUGCCUGGUAGUGGGGGACAACGUUUCGAAAGGAACGCUAAUACCGCAUACGUCCUACGGGAGAAAGCAGGGGACCUUCGGGCCUUGCGCUAUCAGAUGAGCCUAGGUCGGAUUAGCUUGUUGGUGAGGUAAUGGCUCACCAAGGCGACGACCCGUAACUGGUCUGAGAGGAUGAUCAGUCACACUGGAACUGAGACACGGUCCAGACUCCUACGGGAGGCAGCAGUGGGGAAUAUUGGACAAUGGGCGAAAGCCUGAUCCAGCCAUGCCGCGUGUGUGAAGAAGGUCUUCGGAUUGUAAAGCACUUUAAGUUGGGAGGAAGGGCAGCCAGCGAAUACCUGGUUGUUUUGACGUUACCGACAGAAUAAGCACCGGCUAACUCUGUGCCAGCCGCCGCUGUAACAC